UUUUGGUAGCCUUUUGACAUGAAAAGUGGCACAUAAAAAUAGAGCAAUAAAUCGGAAGCAAAACACCGCCGACUGCUUUAUCAGCGUUUCUCGAGCGGGGAGUUUUUUGGUGGACCCGCGCACUAAACAGGCGCAUGUGUCAAAAUAGUGCCACUGUGACAGCUGACGAGAUGAAGAACACCUAAGUAGGCAUCGACAUCAGGCAGCAGUGCUGAAGUUAGGGGUGCCAGAUAAUGGGACAAUGAACGAGAGAGAAGAUCUACAGUACCAUUGCAAAAGGAAAGGAAUUGAAUCAUUCCACAAAGGCUACUGAUACUGUGUGCCGGUUCUUGGGCAAGUAAAAGUGCACGAAAAAAAAGGACACCCAUUAGCAACCCCAAGCCCCAGGGACACAAUCAAUCGCUGGCAUCCCCUGAAGACCUCGGACGAUGGUUGUUGCCGGCGACCCGUACCCCAGGGUGCGAAGGUAAUGAUAACGGUGGCUGCAACGCCAUUCGGACCAGUCUACCGGAACAGUAUAACUUAUCCGGUUCGGGGCUUUGCCAACGAUCACCCUUCCUGCCUUCGAUGCACUACAUCCGAUGGCAACAUCCCUUUCGCCUUGGCAAGGGUGUCAAACACGUGCCCGUCAUCGUGCAUUUCAAAGGUAGGUAACACGUUUGCCUAUCAUAAAACCUUUCCAUGUUAUUUAUUUGGAUUUUUGAAUUUUGAAAUUAAAUGAAAAUAAAAACCAAAUUAAAAAAAAGUCAAAUAAAUCGAUUGUUUGACAACGAUGCACUCUUCGCCAUGAAAAGACGAGAGAGCCCCAUAAAAAAAACGCGCGUGAGUAAAGUCCCGUUCCGCUCAUUUCGUCAG